CAGACAUGUCUCCUGGAGCAGGUCAGGACAUGGAGGUGUCAUCCCUGGAUCGCAGAGCAGCUGUUCACAGUGAUUCUCAGAUGGAGGCAGAGAAUAUAAAAGACUGUGGAGCUAAAAUACCUCAGCAGAAAGACGAGAGCCCUGCAGAGACCCCAACAGUCCUGGACAAAUGUUGUCAUAAACAUCUGCCUGCAUCUAUGAAUACACCAGAGGACGUGCUAAGAGUAGUAAAACACCAGCCGAGCGCCAUUGUGUUCUGUGAUUACGACUGUGGGACUGGCAAUCAGGUCAUCAACGAGAGCUCUGAUGGCGGAGAGUCCUCGUCAUCCACUUCUAAAGAGGCGGAGGGCGAGGACGGUGAUGAUGAUGACUUUCCUGAGACGUUACAAUAUAAGGAAUUCCUGGUCAGCCGUCGUCGUAGAAACUUGAGCAGGAACAGGAAGUGCUUAAGGAGGAGACAGGAUGCCCAGCCUAACAGCACACCAUCUGACUGGCAAAAACCCACCAACAAGGGCAAACCUGGGUUUACAGGUAGCCAAGAGGAGGAGGACACAUGGGAGAAGAAUGGAAAACAGGCUGCUGCGUGUGACUCCAUGACCCUGCUGAUGAUAAAGUUGGACCACCUCAAUGAGGGCAUCCAAGAAGUCCAAGGCGCAAUUUCCUCCUACUCAAAUGAGGCCAGUGCUGAUGAGGAGCAGCAGAGCACCACAGGUUCUGUGGCUGUAGACAGGAUGGUAAGCCGAGUAAAUCAGGAUCAGGGAACCUCCAGGUUUCCAGACAAAUCUGAG
ensembl:lncRNA